rnacentral:rRNA from 1 species
AUGCAUGCUCGAGCGGCCGCCAGUGUGAUGGAUAUCUGCAGAAUUCGCCCUUAGCGGAGCGUGUGGUUUAAUUCGACGCARCGCGCAGAACCUUACCCAGGUUUGACAUGGCACUGCAAGCCGCUGAAAGGCGGUCGCCUUCGAGGGUGUGCCACAGAUGCUGCAUGGCAUGUCGAUCAGCUCGUGUCGUGAGAUGUUGGGUUAAGUCCCGCAACGAGCGCAACCCCUACGGUCAGUUACACGUGUCUGGCCGGACUGCCGUUUACGGAGGAAGGCGGGGAUGACGUCAAGUCCGCAUGGCUCUUACGCCUGGGGCGACACACACGCUACAAUGCCGCGACAGUGCGCUGCUACCGCGCAAGCGGAGGCUAAUCGCCAAACGCCGGCCCAGUGCANAUUGGGGGCUGAAAUCGCCCCCAUGAAGGCGGAGUUGCUAGUAACCGCGAAGGG